GACGAACGCUGGCGGCGUGCUUAACACAUGCAAGUCGAGCGGUAAGGCCCUUUCGGGGGUACACGAGCGGCGAACGGGUGAGUAACACGUGGGUGACCUGCCCUCAGUUCUGGGAUAAGCCUGGGAAACCGGGUCUAAUACUGGAUAUGACCUCAUGACGCAUGUUGUGGGUGGAAAGCCUUGUGCGACUGAGGAUGGGCCCGCGGCCUAUCAGCUUGUUGGUGGGGUGAUGGCCUACCAAGGCGACGACGGGUAGCCGGCCUGAG
rnacentral:rRNA from 1 species